CCGCACAAGCGGUGGAGCAUAGUGGUUAAUUCGAUGCAACGCGAAGAACCUUACCUGGUCUUGACAUCCCGGAGACCCUUAGGAAACUAGGGGUGCUUCCAUCUGGAAGAAUCUGGAGACAGGUGCUGCAUGGCUGUCGUCAGCUCGUGUCGUGAGAUGUUGGGUUAACGUCCCGCAACGAGCGCAACCCUUGCCUUUAGUUGCCAGCAGUUCGGCUGGGCACUCUAAAGGGACUGCCGGUGUUAAACCGGAGGAAGGUGGGGAUGACGUCAAGUCCUCAUGGCCUUUAUGACCAGGGCUACACACGUACUACAAUGGCCGAUACAAAGGGCAGCGACACUGCGAGGUGAAGCCAAUCCCGUAAAAUCGGUCUCAGUCCGGAUUGGAGUCUGCAACUCGACUCCAUGAAGUUGGAAUCGCUAGUAAUCGUGGAUCAGCAUGCCACGGUGAAUACGUUCCCGGGCCUU
rnacentral:rRNA from 1 species